GUAGUCUCGCACAGAUGCAUAUCAAUAAGCGGAGGAAAAGAAACUAACUAGGAUUCCCUCAGUAACGGCGAGUGAAGCGGGAAGAGCUCAAAUUUGAAAUCUUCAAGGUUCUACCUUGACGAAUUGUAGUUUAAAGAAGUGUUUUCUGUUGGAGUUUUGGUAAAAGUUCUUUGGAAUAGGACAUCAUAGAGGGUGAGAAUCCCGUAUUUGACCAUUAUUUCCAGCUUUGUGAUACACUUUCAAAGAGUCGGAUUGUUUGGGAAUGCAGUCCAAAAUGGGUGGUAAAUUUCAUCUAAAGCUAAAUACUGGCGAGAGACCGAUAGCGAACAAGUACCGUGAGGGAAAGAUGAAAAGAACUUUGAAAAGAGAGUUAAACAGUACGUGAAAUUGUCAAAAGGGAAGCGUUUGACACCAGUGUUGUUUUCUCGAAAAUCAAUUAAAAAAGGCAGGAUUUUGUGUUGUAUUGACUUUAUCAGCCUUCUGCACUCUUUUCUUGUCUUUUUUAAUGCACUUUUCGUUUAACAAGUCAACAUCAAUUUCUUUUGUCGUAAAAGGGUCAUUGGAAGGUGGCUUUCUUUUCGGAGAAAGUGUUUAUAGCCUUUGGCCUCUGCAAUCGGAGAGAUUGAGGUCUGCAGCGUAGAUCCUUCGGGGUUAAAUACAUUUGUGCUAAGUUAUAGCCUUUCAUAGACAACUUGUUGACUAUGAUCAGUCAUGUAGCUUACUCGCUUAUGCUAUUUUACCUACGCUUAGGAUGUUGAAGUCAUCGUAUCGCGC
rnacentral:rRNA from 1 species